AUUGAACGCUGGCGGCAUGCCUUACACAUGCAAGUCGAACGGCAGCGGGGACUUCGGUCCGCCGGCGAGUGGCGAACGGGUGAGUAAUGCAUCGGAACGUACCCGGAAGUGGGGGAUAACGUAGCGAAAGUUACGCUAAUACCGCAUAUUCUGUGAGCAGGAAAGAGGGGGAUCUUCGGACCUCUUGCUUUCGGAGCGGCCGAUGUCAGAUUAGCUAGUUGGUGAGGUAAAGGCGCACCAAGGCGACGAGCUGUAGCGGGUGUGAGAGGAGGAUCCGCGACACUGGAACUGAGAGACGGUCCAGACGCCUACGGGAGGCAGCAGUGGGGAAUUUUGGACAAUGGGCGCAAGCCUGAUCCAGCCAUGCCGCGUGAGUGAAGAAGGCCUUCGGGUUGUAAAGCUCUUUCGGCCGGGAAGAAAUCGCAUGGAUUAAUACUCUGUGCGGAUGACGGUACCGGCAUAAGAAGCACCGGCUAACUACGUGCCAGCAGCCGCCGUAAUAC
rnacentral:rRNA from 1 species